AUGGCACCGGUGGUGAGUGCCACACUUGGCGUGUUAGGUCCCCUGCUGGUGAAGCUCGCCGCCUUGCUCACCGGCAAGUUCGGCCGCGUGAGAGGUGUCCGGCUCGAGAUCCUGUCCCUCCAGUCCGAGCUGACCAUCAUGCACGCCGCACUCCAAGAGUACACGAUGCUGGAAGACCCGGGCGUCCAGGUGAAGGCAUGGAUAUCGUUGCUGAGGGAGCUGGCCUAUGAUACCGAGGAUUGCAUUGACAAGUUCAUUUGCCGCCUCGGCAAACGUGGGCGGCGCGGUGGCUCAAAGAGCUGUUCCGCAACACCACUCGCUUCCUCAAGACGCUCGAUUCUCGCUGCGGGAUCACUGGCCAGAUCGACAAGCUGA
rnacentral:rRNA from 1 species